GUGCGUUCGUAAAUUCACUUUAGAGUGUCAGAGUGCACUCGGAGUGUGCUUUGAGUGUUCGUAAAUUCAGAACGUUGUCAGAUUGUCCGUUCAUAAAUUCAGAGUGUUUCGCUCUCGGAGCGUUCAGAGCACACACUGGACACUCUGGCCGAGGUGUAGGGUUGAUCUGAGCAUUCUGACUUCACAUCGGCAGUCAAGCACCCAAGCCAACUGGCUAAACUUGCUUAGCUUGCUUGCUAGCUACUUCCAGACACAAAUGAGAGAACACCUCACUCUGAACAUGUUACUCACCCUAGCAGAGCUGGUAGAAGUGCUAGAGUGUUUUCAUGUUAUCAAGAGGGUUAGUGACUGUAACUGUGUUACUGGCAACAAUUAAGUUCUGUUUUUUAGCCGAUAUUUACUUACAUCUGUCAUAACAACUGAGUUUAGGCAGUUCGUAAAUUCCUAAAUUAUUCUGCGCUCUGGCACUCUCCAACCAGUGGUCUGAAAUCGAAGUAAGUUGCCAUGGUGAAUUUACUAACGCACCCUAUAUCAGGGCAGUCCUCAAGUGCCACAGAGUCUGUUGCUUAGUAACGGAUGAUAUGGACCAGGAGAGCGGACACUCUCUGCAAUCAAUGACAGAAAUGUAUCAGUUAAGGACCAAAGAAAGGAAAAUCUGUGGCCCUCGAGGACUGCUCAGAGAUCCUGCCUUACAUCUUUAUCUGUACACUUAAAACCAAGCAGUGUAGUGCAGUGUUUCCCCUUCUACCAUUACUUAGGCAGGGUGCCCCACUCUCAUUCCUCUGUAUCCUUAACUCUGUUGCCCCCACCACCAGCCUCAAUUUAGUUUAUCUUCAGUUGGAUUCUAUAAAAACAUGUAUGGUUUUGGCAGCCUUUGUUGAAGAUUCCCCUGGACUAGACUAGUCUGGUCAGUUCUGUUUCAAUCUUUUCUGAUCUGGUCUGUUCUAGUGGAGUCUACUACUAGUCUAAGGGCUCCAUGGAGUCUGGCUCUGCGUCCAUACAGGUCUCCCAGGGGUUGAUCUGGUCAGGUCUAAUCUGUUCUACUACUACUAGUCUAAGGGCUCCAUGGAGUCUGGCUCUGCGUCCAUACAGGUCUCCCAGGGGUUGAUCUGGUCAGGUCUAAUCUGUUCUACUACUACUAGUCUAAGGGCUCCAUGGAGUCUGGCUCUGUGUCCAUACAGGUCUCCCAGGGGUUGAUC
rnacentral:lncRNA from 1 species